AUUCCUGCUUUCCCGCUCAAAUGUUGCAUUUUCUAAGACCUCCCUGGCCCGCCAUACGCCGAUCCUGAACCUACGAAAACCCAAGACUGCGGGCACGGUGGCUCAUGCCUGUAAUCCCAGCACUUUGGGAGGCCGAGGCGGGCAGAUCACGAGGUCAAGAAGUCGAGACCAGCCUUGCUAACAUGGCGAAACCCUGACUCUACUGAAAAUACAAAAAUUAGCUGGGCGUGAUGGCGUGCGCGCCUGUAGUCCCAGCUGCUCGGGAGGCUGAGGUAGGAGAAUCGCUUCAAUCCGGGAGGUGGAGGUUGCGGUAAGCAGAGAUUGCGCCACUGCACUCUAGCCUGGCGACAGAGACUCCUUCAAAAACAACAACAACAACAACAACAACAACAAAACAAAACCUCCCAAGACCCUAGUGGGCAGACACACAGCCAGCCAGACAUGGAGAGGAGCACAUUAGCAGAAGAAGACGCAAGUGGCUGGUCCUCGAGAGGACGUUGAGAGGAGCAUGCCAGCAGAAGAGCACACAACGACAGGCACCGACACACCACCGGCAGGCCAUGCACCAGCAGAAUGAUGCGGAGUUUGACGGGGCAGUCAGAGAAGAGCCUGGGCCGCCAAGGGGCCCGACUCCAGGGGAAAACCAUCUCCCUUCUGGCUCCCCCAUCUGCUGAGAGCUACUUCUACUCAAUAAAACCUUGCACUCAUUCUCCAAGCCCACGUGUAAUCCGAUUCUUCAGGCUGUGUCCUUUGCCUGGAAUGCUCUCUCUUGCUGGCUGGCUUCUUCCCACCAGCUGUGGCCAGGGCUGCUCCUUAUUCCUUCGUCAAAACUCCGUCUGCUGGGUGUGGUGCCUCACACCUGUAAUCCCAGCACUUUGAGAGGCCAAGGUGGGAGUAUCGUUUGAGCCCAGGAGUUCAAGACAAGCCUGGACAACAGAGCAAGACCCUGUCUCUACCAAAGAAAAGAAAAGAAAAGAAAAGAAACAGCCACUUUCUCUUCCAUGAGCCAGUUUAUGUUUUCUUCACGGCAUUUGUUACAAAUCACAAAUGUGGAGGAAAAAUGAAGGCAAAGCAAAAUAACAGGCAAGUCUGAAAACAAAAGUGUUGCCAGUCACGCUAAGCCUCAGGCACGCAUUCUGAAUGAAGCUAAAGUUUAAAGUCCCCUCUGAUAGAUUUGUGACUUAAAUGUCCACACUAGCAAGUGUGUUUCUCACAUGGAGAAGUAGCACGAUUUUAUGUCAGGAAAGGGAUGAGAACAUGCUUCUUGAACACAUACAAUGCUGAAGACAUUUCCUGGAAAACCAUUGGCCUUUGCUUAGGACAGUUGCAUCACACAGAGAUGUUUGUGGUUCAGAUUUAUAAGAAACAUGGGAACUGAAGCCAAAGCACUACUUUUGCUCAGUAUAACCAGGUGCCAGAUCUAAAGUGUUAGGCAGGUUCCUAUAUGUAUGUUAGAAAAAAGUUGCCCAAGUUUUGGACAAUUCCUUUUCCAUCUCUCUUACAAGUCAACAAAUCGAAGCAAUAAACUAUUCUCUGAAGAAAACAAAUUUAUUUGGUUGAUUCAAACUUUUAAUGAGACUAUUACUCCCCUGUGUGCCUUUCCUUUCUCUGGUUCUAGAAAUACAUCUAGAAAGGGGGAAAAUGUUAAUAUAUUUUCUACUGACUUUAUAUCACAAAUGCUUAGCUUAGAGGGUGGACUCUGAGGAACAGUGUCCUUUCCAAAUAUUAUAAAACUUUGUGUUCAUUCUGGAAAAACAAACAAAAUUAAUCACAAUGAUUUCCUGCUUUGGAGCAAUGAGAAAUGGGAGGGAAACUUCACCUUUUCAUAGCUUUUGAUGUUUGCACCAUGUGAAUUACCCACCCCCAAAUUUAAAAUACGAAUUUUUGAAAAAGUGUUUACCUCUGAGAAGAGAAACUAGUAGUGAAGAAUGAGGAGCUGUAGAUUUUUAACGAUUCUGAUGUAUUUGCAUUUUUCCCAAUGUUCAUGAAUAAAUAAAUGUGCAUUCAUAAUUAAAAAGAAUAAACAACCUGGAAAAAACAAAAAAAGCUCUGCGUUCACUGAUCUCUAAAUAAGAAAAGAUAAGACUUGUAGUGUGGCCUUGUACUUGUACAUCUUUUCCAUGUGCCAAAGAGCUACCCCAUGGUCAAGCCAAGUGGUGAUUAUGUAGCUUUCUCUGAACAGACAUAAUAGGGCUACACAUUCACUGUGAAAAAGCUGCAGACAGAUGACACCAGUCAACAGAACACCCUACACAGAAACUGUAAAACCAUUUUAAC
rnacentral:lncRNA from 1 species